CGGAGUGAAGUUCGUCAUCCUCAAAACAGAUCUCUUUCCCCGUGCUGACCUUGAACUGGCUUUGGGUGCUAGUUGGCUGACGUCAUAAGCUGACUUGAUUUGGUUAGUCUGUUAUUCGCCAUGUGGUCAGAAAGGACGUGUCCAUUGGUUACUUUUGGAAAGUUACCAGAAACAACAAGGUUGUUGAAGUAACAAGGAAAAUUGCACCUAUACACAAUUAAGGAAAGUUUCAGUUUGUAUUUUUUCUGUUGUUGAAUGAAGGUAUGUUGCUGUUGUUGAAUGAAGUGGACAACCCUGAAUUUGAGAUAAAGACUGAUGUUAUUUGAGAACAUGGGAAGAUUCAUAGGAUCAUGAAAACAUGGGAUGACUGGCUGGGUAGAUGAGGGCAGAGCAGUGGAUGUUGUCUCCCUGGACUUCAGCAAGGCUUUU